rfam:Lactobacillus sp. ASF360 genomic scaffold acMPL-supercont1.3, whole genome shotgun sequence.
UAAGUCACUAGGGGGUGCUAUUUUAGCUGAGACAUACCCUUUGAACUUGAACAAGGUAAUGCUUGCGAAAGGAAAGUGCAAUACUAGAAG